UGAACGCUAGCUACAGGCUUAACACAUGCAAGUCGAGGGGCAGCAUGGUCUUAGCUUGCUAAGGCCGAUGGCGACCGGCGCACGGGUGAGUAACACGUAUCCAACCUGCCGUCUACUCUUGGACAGCCUUCUGAAAGGAAGAUUAAUACAAGAUGGCAUCAUGAGUUCACAUGUUCACAUGAUUAAAGGUAUUCCGGUAGACGAUGGGGAUGCGUUCCAUUAGAUAGUAGGCGGGGUAACGGCCCACCUAGUCUUCGAUGGAUAGGGGUUCUGAGAGGAAGGUCCCCCACAUUGGAACUGAGACACGGUCCAAACUCCUACGGGAGGCAGCAGUGAGGAAUAUUGGUCAAUGGGCGCAGGCCUGAACCAGCCAAGUAGCGUGAAGGAUGACUGCCCUAUGGGUUGUAAACUUCUUUUAUAAAGGAAUAAAGUCGGGUAUGUAUACCCGUUUGCAUGUACUUUAUGAAUAAGGAUCGGCUAACUCCGUG
rnacentral:rRNA from 1 species